rnacentral:rRNA from 1 species
GACGAACGCUGGCGGCGUGCUUAACACAUGCAAGUCGAACGGAAAGGCCCUGCUUUUGCGGGGUGCUCGAGUGGCGAACGGGUGAGUAACACGUGAGUAACCUGCCCUUGACUUUGGGAUAACUUCAGGAAACUGGGGCUAAUACCGGAUAGGAGCUCCUGCUGCAUGGUGGGGGUUGGAAAGUUUCGGCGUUUGGGGAUGGACUCGCGGCUUAUCAGCUUGUUGGUGGGGUAGUGGCUUACCAAGGCUUUGACGGGUAGCCGGCCUGAGAGGGUGACCGGCCACAUUGGGACUGAGAUACGGCCCAGACUCCUACGGGAGGCAGCAGUGGGGAAUAUUGCACAAUGGGCGGAAGCCUGAUGCAGCAACGCCGCGUGCGGGAUGACGGCCUUCGGGUUGUAAACCGCUUUCGCCUGUGACGAAGCGUGAGUGACGGUAAUGGGUAAAGAAGCACCGGCUAACUACGUG